rnacentral:rRNA from 1 species
AUGUUGGAUAAAGACGUCAAGCUCGUCGACGUGAUCCAGGUGAUGCUGGUUUGCUGGAUUCUCCGCUGCCAAAGCCGAAGCUUCCCUUUAUGGGAAUUCGAUUCGGCAAAGCACCAGACCAUGGAAGGGCUCUUUGGAACUACUCACAAAGGUGCCUGGAAGUUGCUCUUCAAGGGCAAUGUGAAGCCGCCGGUCAUGGAUUCGGACCGCGGGCACGAUCACUCCCAUCCCGCCAAUGAGGAAAGUUCUCCUUUUGUUGGUGGAAACGACACCUAUGGGAUCACGGGAAUCCCUUCUACGGUUGGCGGGUGCGGGGUUGUGAGAAGAGCAGGUCUAACAGGAAGCACACAGAUCGUUUACCCAGGUUCAGGCUGCGAGGAUGCGUAA